CCUACGGGUGGCAGCAGUGGGGAAUAUUGCACAAUGGGGGAAACCCUGAUGCAGCGACGCCGCGUGAAGGAAGAAGUAUUUCGGUAUGUAAACUUCUAUCAGCAGGGAAGAAAAUGACGGUAUCUGACUACGAAGCACCGGCUACCUACGUGCUAGCAGCCGCGGUAAUACGGAGGGGGCAAGCGUUAGCCGGAAUUACUGGGUGUAAAGGGAGCGUAGUCGGGUUAGCAAGUCAGAUGUGAAAGCCCGGGGCUCAACCCCGGAACUGCUUUGGAAACUGUUAAACUAGAGUGCAGGAGAGGUAAGUGGAAUUCCUAGUGUAGCGGUGAAAUGCGUAGAUAUUAGGAGGAACACCAGUGGCGAAGGCGGCUUACUGGACUGUAAAUGACGCUGAGGCUCGAAAGCGUGGGGAGCAAACAGGAUUAGAUACCCGGGUAGUC
rnacentral:rRNA from 1 species